rnacentral:rRNA from 1 species
AUUGAACGCUGGCGGCAGGCCUAACACAUGCAAGUCGAGCGGAUGAAGGGAGCUUGCUCCUGGAUUCAGCGGCGGACGGGUGAGUAAUGCCUAGGAAUCUGCCUGGUAUUUGGGGAUAACGUCCGGAAACGGGCGCUAAUACCGCAUACGUCCUGAGGGAGAAAGUGGGGGAUCUUCGGACCUCACGCUAUCAGAUGAGCCUAGGUCGGAUUAGCUAGUUGGUGGGGUAAAGGCCUACCAAGGCGACGAUCCGUAACUGGUCUGAGAGGAUGAUCAGUCACACUGGAACUGAGACACGGUCCAGACUCCUACGGGAGGCAGCAGUGGGGAAUAUUGGACAAUGGGCGAAAGCCUGAUCCAGCCAUGCCGCGUGUGUGAAGAAGGUCUUCGGAUUGUAAAGCACUUUAAGUUGGGAGGAAGGGCAGUAAGUUAAUACAUUGCUGUUUUGACGUUACCAACAGAAUAAGCACCGGCUAACUUCGUG